ACUCACCAACAUCCCGAAUAAAGUUGCCCCAUCCACUCUUAGCACUGCUAGAUGCAUCAAAAACAUGCAACAUCAAGUCUUGUGCUGUCAGUUCUCUGAUCCCAGUCAACUGGACAGACUACAGUUAGAAGUUAAUGUUGCUGGAUUGUGCAAAUGGAUCAGUGGGUUGAAAAUGCCUUGGAGCUUGCAGCUGAUUAGGUUCCCAUAGACAGAAGAGAUUUCCUGCUCACAGUGCUUUGCAGACCCAAUUCAAAGCCUAUGACAUUAUCCAUAUCACUGUAAUUCUAGCCAUUUUCCUAUGUUGGAAAAUUUCCUGUUAGAAGCAGCAUGACAGGCAACCAGCAGGCAAAGAAUGCCAGACCCUUCCCUUCUCCACAUUUACUACCGCUUCAAGUUUGAUAUAUGAUGCCCAGGCAUGGAACAACAGCUUCAUCUAAGCAAACUUACAGUGCUUGAGAACAGAGUUGUGACCAAGGGAUUCCUUAAAAUCCAAGCCUCUCAAGAGAAGAGGGAGAAAGAUAUUUGCCUGGACUGGCUGAACAGGUUCUCCUUGCUGUUUAUGGAUGAAUAAGCCUUAUCUCUUUUACAAGCUAGAAGGACGAGGAAGAGCCUGGUCAAGGCAUGUCUUUCCUCCAAGAAGAUGGUGGUGACAAGUGGGAAAUUACUAUAUGAUUCAUAACCCAAAGCUGUGCCAUAUCCUGAACAGGAAGAAGAUGACGUCAAAGACCAUGUCCAAAAGGAUUGGGACUUGCUCAGCUGCAAUAACCUCAUUCCCUUAAUACUUCCUUAAUUCUUUUCUUUAAAAAAAAAAGCACAACAGAAGUAAAAUAUUUUCUCUCUGUUGUUUGAAUACUCUGAAUCUGCAGAAGAGAAGAUGUAGUUUUAUGACCCUACGGUAUGCUUAACCAUAGAACCAUUGACUAGAGCAAAUUUGGCUGGGAUUUCACAAAUUGCUAAGCCAGACUUGAACCAGCUACUAACUAAUAUGCAAAUAUCUAUGGAAGAACAUUUUGUAUCUAGAAUACAUGAAUGUGCUUUGGCACUGGUUAUAUGAGAAUGAGACGUGUAUCGGAAGAAGCAUACCAAUAAACCAAAUAUAGAGGGAAUGGGUUACUUCAGAAAUAAGUGGUGUAAAACAAGAGAUAGGGUCAAGAAUGAACAGGUGCUGAAUGAAUGUGGAUUGAAUACAAAAGUGAGUUUACACAUUAAACACAUUGAGGCUGCUUAAUCACAGAAAGAGAGUGAAUAUGGAUGAAGUUGUAAAACACUCAUAUGAAGGAAGAAUGAGCAGGCUGGGUGCAAGGGAAAGAAUGAAAACAAAUGAGUUGGCUUAGAUGAUGAAAGUUUUCAUCUCCCAUUUUUCUGAAGAUUCUAGUACAAAAGACAAUAUUUUGAAGGGCAUAAGGAGGUGAUAGAGUCAAAGAUAUUUGCAAGAAGAAAAGUUUAGAGAGCUGUAAUCAAUGUUGCUGUACACUCGAUAACACCGUACAUUUAAUUUACUUUGCUUAAACUAUUUCUUACUUCUUUUUGUGCUUUGCAUAACUCUAUUUACUGCAAAAGGGAACAUUAUCUUAUUUCUUUUUAAGAACUAGAAACAAAAGCAUUUUCCCAUGGGAAGGAUUCUUUGUAAUUAAUUUCAAACUCUUAUUUCAAAUUUAUUUGGACUCACUCCAUUUAUAACUUUCUAAAAUCAAAGUUUUAAUCACCUUUUGCUGUUUAUUCCAGAAGAAAAACCUUUAAUUUCUUAAACUUGUAUUUAAAACUCCCUUUACUAAGGAUUGAAGGAAACUUACUCGAUGCUGUAAAACUUGUUUGAUUCCAAAGUUCCUAACAGCUAAAAAUAAGUUAACAAGCAAUUUCUGAAAGUGAUAAGAAAAAGGAAAUAUGUGCAUCCAGUGCCCUUUUAAAGGCACCAAACUUAUUUGGGCAGAAGUGUUAUGCCUUCCUCUCUCAGAGCUCUAAACCCACCCAAGAUCAUUGUCUUGAAGACUCCUCAGAAGAGCAAUUGGAACCCUCACCACAUCUCUGACAUCAAUACAAUUGAACGUGUCCAGAAAUAUUUUACAAGAAGAGUUCUCCAUUCCUUUGAAAACAAUAAAAUACCUUAUCCCACCAGACUUGAAAUCCUGGGCUUAGAAAACUUGGAACUCAGUCGCCUUCGACAAGACCUAAGUUUAACUCACAGAAUCAUCUAUUGUAAUGUCCUUCCUGUCAAAGACUACUUCAGCUUUAAUUGCAAUAAUACUAGAGCAACUAAUAGAUUUAAACUUAAUGUCAACCGCUUUAAUCUAGAUUGCAGAAAAUAUGACUUCUGUAACAGAAUCAUCAGUGCUUGGAAUACUUUACCUGACUCUGUGGUCUCUUCUCAUAAUCCUAAAAGCUUUAACCAAAAACUUUCUUCUA